rnacentral:rRNA from 1 species
AUGAACGGCGCGCUAAGGGUCUCUGCUUCAAUUGUGACGAGAAGUUCACGCGGGGCCAUCGCUGCAAACGUCUGUUCUAUAUUCAAUCCGCCGACGCCGAAGAGGAGCAGUUUGAGGAUUUCCAGGAAGCACAAAUCUCACUCUUGGUUGUUACCGGAAUUCCCACCAGCGACACAAUGCAGGUCACUCUUCGCAUCGGGGACCGUGACUUGGUCGCCUUGCUUGAUUCAGGCAGCACCCAUAACUUCAUCCACGAAGAGUUGGCCACCAUCGUCGGGCUGCCUUUCUCCUCCAAUCGUCGUUUGGGAGUCACGGUCGCUAAUGGCGAUAAGGUGA